UUGAUUGGAGCUCUUCCAGGGCUUCCUUCCUGGGCCAUGGACCCCUCUGAGGCCAUUCGCCUCUGUUCCAGUUUGGCUCUCCUGGACCCCUCUGGAUGGCUAGGUUGUUCCUCCUCAGUCUGCAUUGAUUGGAGCUGGGACCGAAGCCCCCAUUCCAGAAACCGGACCAGGAGAUAGGCAAACAAGAAGAAGCCACCCAAUGUGAGAAAGAAAUAAGCAACGGGGGUGAUGUCCGUCUUUAUGCCCAGCAAAGCCAGCCCCAGUAGGAAGGAGGCGCAGCACAGGAGGAGAAGCGGCUUCUCCAGUCUCCCCAGUUCUUCAAUCUCAAAUAAAUCAUCUGUAGAGUCCCCUCCAGUUCCGAAAUUCUCUCUAUGUCUUGGAGUGUGUGGAAUAGCCAGGAAACCAGCCCAGGAGCUUUGACUCCCAGCCAUUCUGCACCUUAAGCAAAAAGGAAGUUAGCCACACAUGGUGGCUCAUGACUGUAGUCUCAGCUACAUGGGAGGCAAGGCGAGAGGAUCUCUUGAGCCCAGGAGUUCGAGGCCAGCCUAGGCAAUGUAGUAAGACCCUGUUCUUAAAUUUUUUUAAAAAGCAA
rnacentral:lncRNA from 1 species